rnacentral:rRNA from 1 species
UAUCCUACGGGAGGCAGCAGUGGGGAAUAUUGGGCAAUGGGCGCAAGCCUUACCCAGCAAUACCGCGUGAGUGAAGAAGGUCUUCGGAUUGUAAAGCUCUUUGAUCAGGGACGAACAGAUGACGGUACCUGAAGAACAAGCCCCGGCUAACUACGUGCCAGCAGCCGCGGUAAAACGUAGGUGGCAAGCGUUAUCCGGAUUUACUGGGUGUAAAGGGCGUGUAGGCGGGAAAGCAAGUCAGAUGUGAAAACCAUGGGCUCAACCUGUGGCCUGCAUUUGAAACUGUUUUUCUUGAGCACUGGAGA